rnacentral:rRNA from 1 species
CAGCAGCCGCCACGGUAAUACAGAGGAUGCAAGCGUUAUCCGGAAUGAUUGGGCGUAAAGCGUCUGUAGGUGGCUUUUCAAGUCCGCCGUCAAAUCCCCGGGCUCAACCCUGGACAGGCAGUGGAAACUACCAAGCUGGAGUACGGUAAGGGCAGAGGGAAUUUCCAGUGGAGCGGUGAAAUGCGUUGAGAUCGAAAAGAACACCAACAGCGAAAGCACUCUGCUGGGCCGACACUGACACUGAGAGACGAAAGCUAGGGGAGCAAAUGGGAUUAGAUACCCCUGUAGUCCCUGUCUCUUU